GGCCUACUUAAUGGUUAAGGCCUGUAAACUUGAAUGUUCCCCUAUGACGGCGAGAGGAUUUGCAAAAUUCCCUAUCCUUUCCCCAGUCAAGAGCCAAUCAGAAGAAAAAAGGAGGCGAAGACUUCGCCGUCUGGCGUUCAAAAAUGCCACCUCGUAAGGAUGGGAAGAUAGAAAGAAAAUGGGGGUUGGGACUAACGUUUGACGUCUUCAGCCAAAUAAUGUGUUCUGGCCCUACGUUCCUUAUAGGCUGGACCAAAGGACGAGCGAUUUCACAGAGAAAAGUGUUACAUGUCUCCAGAUGGGGCAGAAGGAAUUCAACAAGGCCCUUCAACAUGAAAGUCGAGCUUGACAUCUGUCAAAGGCACUCCUUUACAAAUAGAUACACCGUCCACAGCCUUGACACAAACUCAACUGUGGGAUAAAAAAGGCCACCACAGUCUGUAAAAAACAAUAGAGGGUUUUUUCUUCCGCACGGCCACCUACUUCAUCUGAUUGCCAACUUGAUAAAUCUUCCCAGUCAUUGCGAGAGUUAUAUCGUCUUGUGAUUGAGGGACGGAUUUGCCUUUCCCUUGGACGACCUUGCUUUGCAGUUACUUCACUCGGCGGAAUGGUUGUAGCUUCCAUUUCACUUGGCGGUAUGGUUUUAGCUUCCAUUUCACUCGGCGGUAUGGUUGUAGCUUCCAUUUCACUCGGCGAAAUGGUUGAUAACAAAACCAUCGAAUUGUAAAUUGGCUGAUCCUGAUUGUCCAUGCCUGAAUUGUCUAAGCAAUCGACAUUCUUUAAUUCAUCUUCCGAAAAGUUUAUUCUCACAUUUAAGGCGCAUCGAGGAAUUACCGUGCAUCUAAUAGCUUCUAACACCGUUCCCUGAUUCCAUUCUCAACCCCUAAUAACAGUUCCCUGCCUUUUUUUAUUUCCUUUUAAGUCGUGAACACACGCUGAAACAAGAUUUCUGUACAUUCGACAGGUUCGAAAAUAGAACGAAUGAUAUUUAUUUGAUUGUUAUGCAUGUAAAAAAUAUAUCCGUUUCAUAACUAA
rnacentral:lncRNA from 1 species